CAGUAGCCGCGGUAAAACGUAGGUGGCAAGCGUUGUCCGGAAUUAUUGGGCGUAAAGGGCUCGCAGGCGGUUUCUUAAGUCUGAUGUGAAAGCCCCCGGCUCAACCGGGGAGGGUCAUUGGAAACUGGGAAACUUGAGUGCAGAAGAGGAGAGUGGAAUUCCACGUGUAGCGGUGAAAUGCGUAGAGAUGUGGAGGAACACCAGUGGCGGAGGCGACUCUCUGGUCUGUAACUGACGCUGAGGAGCGAAAGCGUGGGGAGCGAACAGGAUUAGAUACCCGCGUAGUCCCUGUCUCUUAUAC
rnacentral:rRNA from 1 species